AUGAAGGGAGGAUCCUGCAAGCUUCCAGAGAGGAAACAGGAAAGGCGGCAUCUCAAGGGCUGGGACGAGAGGGCACCCUCCCUGCGGACACGGGGAAGCCUGAGACGCAGCCGCGGUGUCCCGGCCACCGCUGCCUCGAACCCAAACCGCGCAAGGGACCCCAGCGCCCGGGCGCCGCCAGCCAAGUGCGCGCGGGCGCCCAGGUUCCCAAGUCCUUCUCCCUGGAGGCUUCUGAGGCAUCGUUCCGCAGAACGGGAAUUCCAGGGAGAAAGCGGAAGAUGUGAAACCGGGACUAGGGGACCCGCCGCAGGGACGAGUUCCAGGGGGCGUGAGGAGGGGGCAGACGCGGGGCCCCGCGACCACAGACAUCAGCAAGCGGUUGCCGGCUCAGGAUUCAGCGCAGGGAAGAGCCGGCAGAGAAACAGGAAGCAGGUAACAAAGUACACCCAAAUCAGGGCUCAUCGGGGUGACUUCGCUUCUGCACGGGCAUCAACCUGUCAGAAUGCAGCUGUGCGGCAGUUGGGUAGCUCUUCAUUCAGCUAAAGCCUUUGUCAGGGAAUGGCUAGACACAUGGGCUCAGCUGAGCCCUUGUCCCCUCUUUAGAGUCCCAUGGUAGAGUAGUCAAAUGUUGUUAUAGACUGAAUCGUGCCUUCUCAAGUUCGUAUGCUAAAGCUCUAACCCCCAGUGUGACUGGUAGAUUAAAGUUAAAUGAGGUCAUAAGGAGGGGGCCUCAUACAAUGGGACUGGUGUCCUGAGAAGAAGAGGAAGAGCUACUGGGAGUGAAUGUGCACAAAGAAAAGGCCAUACCAAGGACCCAGAGGGAGUGGCCACCUGCAUGCUAAGGACAGAGGCCUCAGGAGAAGCCAAGUCUGCUGACACUCUGAUCCAGGACUUCCAGUUUCCAGAAAAUAAACUGAGAAAAUAAAUCUCUGUGUGUAAGCCACCCGGUCUGGUAUUGUUAUGGCAAACCAAGCACACUAAGACAUCUUCCCUGGUGGCUGAGGACUAAGAGACCAAGGCAGGGUCUUUCUCACCCAGGCUGGGCCAAGCACAGCUGAAUUUCUGCUGUACUCUGUUGAUCAGCUAUUUGCAGGCCAGCCCAGAUUCAAGGGGGUAGAGGAAACCCCAUGUCCUGAUGGCACAGUGUGCCAAUGGGGAGGAAAGAAGCCGAUGGUGAGCACCGUGGAGGCAGCUUCCACUCGCCCCCACCCAGCCCCCAGUGCUGGUGAGCUCCCCAAGGGCAGGGAUCUUGUCUAGUGUGUUUACCAGACACCCUCUGCUCAUAUCAAAGUGCCUGUAUUCAACAAAAUCCCCCAAACCCUUGCUGUUUAAAAGGACAGGUCAGGCACAGCUGGGGGGAUCAGUCCAUUAAGCAUCUAACUUUGGCUCAGGUUAUGUUCUUAGGGUCUUGGGAUCAGCCUGAAGAUGUCCCCACAUCUGGCAUUGGGCAUUGGCAUUGGGCUCCCUGCUCAUGGGGAGUCUGCUUUCCCUCUGCCCCUUCCCCUGCUC
rnacentral:lncRNA from 1 species